rnacentral:rRNA from 1 species
AUUGAACGCUGGCGGCAUGCCUUACACAUGCAAGUCGAACGGCAGCACGGGAGCAAUCCUGGUGGCGAGUGGCGAACGGGUGAGUAAUAUAUCGGAACGUGCCCAGUCGUGGGGAUAACGUAGCGAAAGCUACGCUAAUACCGCAUACUAUCUAUGGAUGAAAGCGGGGGAUCGCAAGACCUCGCGCGAUUGGAGCGGCCGAUAUCAGAUUAGGUAGUUGGUGAGGUAAAGGCUCACCAAGCCGACGAUCUGUAGCUGGUCUGAGAGGACGACCAGCCACACUGGGACUGAGACAGGCCCAGACUCCUACGGGAGGCAGCAGUGGGGAAUUUUGGACAAUGGGCGCAAGCCUGAUCCAGCAAUGCCGCGUGCAGGAUGAAGGCCU